CUUCCGGGUCACGGAAUUUAAGGCAUUUUCUGAGUAGAGCGUUGUAGGAAUUGUGUUGUGAAUGCAUAGUUUAUGCACUACUCAAGAUACACAAGUAUAGUUUUGUAGUGUUCAGUAGGAAAACAGUAGUAUUUACAGUAGUAAUCAGGCUAUUCCGUUACGAUGUCUCCGAAGAACCAUCUGCUAGCCCCGGCCCUCUAGCUUUCUGAACCCCGUGUCCACUCGCCUGACUCACCUAUUGCUGUUCAUUGGACCCUUUGAUCACUCGGCUACACAGCUGAUGCCCCCUGGACUGUUUCAAUAACACGGCCGGUGGUAGCUGGUCCGCUGCAGGACGCUGAGGUGCGGGAGGUCCCCCCGCCCCCCUUGGAC